CUGCAACGUGACAGAACAGCUCUUAACAACCUCCCAGCUGGAAAAGACAAAUGGCGAGUCUGAUCAAGUCAAGUUUAUUUCUAAAUCAAUUUCCAGGAAAAACAUCUGUGACAAAGAGCUUCACAGACAAUAAACACAGACAAAAACAAGGACGCGGUGGCAGGGCUGAGACGCACAGGGUGAGUGAUGCUGCUUCACUCCGCUGUCUGUAGAUUCACCAUAUGCCCCCUCUAAUGGGCACUAGGGGGCAGAUUGACUAAUGGUGUGUGUGUGCAUGUGUGACAGAGUGAAUAAAUGAAUGGUUAUGUGAGCGCAUUACUUCGUGCAUCCACAAGAGGCUGCGCAAUCAAAAAACAAAUUUCACAAAGAGGGAACAAACACGAGCGAGAGCAUCACCAAAUUCAACGGAUGGGGCCGGAGUGUGUGUGUGUGUGUGUGUGUGAGUCUGAGUGUGUGUGUGUGUGUGUGAGUGUGUUAGGGGAUGAAAUCACAUUGCAGCCCACUGGAGAAAUAAGUAAAUGACAGACCGCAGGCGAGCAGAUAAAAGGAAAGGAAAGGGUAGCGGCUGAUGCUGUGGAGGGAGGAGGCUUUGUGGUGGAGGGCAGUCAGUCGGACUCCUGAAGUGCUUCUUGGCACGCCUCAGUGGAAAGAGCCGCCGACUCAAAGUGCUCCAUCGCAUUGACAUUUUGUCAUCGAGAGGGAGGAGGACAUUGUCCAUAAUAGCAGACUGCAAACAUGGUUUUCUCCACCAGUACCCCGACUGAAGGAGAGUGCCCCCCCUCCACCACCUCCACCCCUCUGACUGAACUGGCUUUUCUCAAUUCACAGCGACUUGUUCAGAGAUGUGUGUCCCCCGAAAUGAUACUGAGUGCACCCGCCGACAAACACCCUCAGUCCUGUCAGGGAGGCUUAACGCUCAGUCUGACAGGCACAGGAUUAGCGCUGAACCACACGGUCUAAUAACUGAUCAAUAGAAAGUUAAUCGACUUAAAAAGGAAAUGAAUUGAUUAAUCCUCUAAGAAAUCUAUCAGGCGACAAAGUCACAACGUCGGCGGCUGCUCCGAGGGGCCGCUCUGAGGGGCCGCACUGAGACACAGCAGCGGUCCGGUCAGAGUAGUGAUGGGGAUGGCAGCUAGUUAGAUGUACUUAAUCACUAGAAUCAGUUCACUAAAAAGAUUCGUUCAAAAGAUUUGUUCACUGAAUCACCGAAUCAUUCAGUGAUUAGUGAUUCCUUUACUGAUACACAGCCGAACGGUUCAGGUUUCAGGUCAGUUCACGGCUUCUGGGACCGGGAGACGAGAGUGUUGUGGCCGUGUAACCUCGACGAACAGGUUUGUAAAAAUGAACUCGUUUCUAAAUCAUGAUGCUAUUUACCUGGUUUACUUGGUAAACUGGUCUCAGUCAGUGAUUCGUUCACUGGACAUUCACCCCACAGUACAUUCAGUGAAGGAAUCACACUGACCAUGUACCGUUUCCUCCCAAAUCGCCACAAUGAUAGGAUCAGUCACACAUUUACUCAAACUGCCUGUUUUAAAACGACUCGUUACCUACUGUGUGCUGCUGACGAACGGAUCAUUUGAGGAAGGGAUUCUGAUUAGCAGGUUCACUUAAAAGAUUCAUUCUUUUGAACCAAUCAUUCGCAAACAACACAUCACUAAGUCAAAGCUAAAUGCUAAUGUCAGCAGACUAACAUGCUGAUGUUAGCUGAAAUAUUUAGCAUAGACAAUAAUAACCGGUCGGGGCAUCAUUUGUCUCUAAACUGAAAUAAUUGAUUUUUUAUGAAUGUACCAAUCAGCCAAUCACAGUUUAGGAUUUCAGGAUGGCCAAUCAGAUUUAUACCUUCUUGCUCCGCCCCUUGGUUGAUCCCACUUAUAAUCAACAUACUUGGCAAUAUGCAGAUCUGUGUUCCCUCCUAAUGAAUCUGUACAGCCCAAAGUACAGACUGAUAAUAUAGACAGAGUCAGGCUGAAAACUAUCAAUUAACACCGUUCAGUGUUGUCACAAGGUGCAAAGACAAUCAGCACCCCAGGGGGACUGAAGUCCUCACCAGACUGUGUGUAAGAAGAGACAGCACACUUUAUGUAGAACACUGAUGUUAAAGCUUGUUUUAACUUUGUCCUUCUCCACUCUUACAAAUCUGGUUUCAAAGGGUAUAAAAUGAUUCGUAGUUGAUCUGAUCUGACAUUUCAAAACCGUUUUAAGUUUGUAUGAAUGAUGUAAAUCAAUAUUUAUAAGUGUAGAUAACUAUUAUAACUCACUGACAGAGGAUUUAGAGGUUUUAGAGGAUCCACUUUGACCACGCAGUAUUUCAACAGGAACCAGGACAAGUCUUACAUAUAGACUGUAUAUACUAUGGACAACUUGGCUCCGCCUCCUGUCAUUGUAUGAAUUUGAAGCCAAAAAGCUCUCGGUAUUUCUGGGAUUUCUCCACUUCCUGGAACCACCGCUGUGAUGACGCUCUGUUCAAACAACGUAUCCCCCCGGGUGAGCUAUGCAAUCUUCGUACGCCAAUAGGCUGUAUCAAGUGUCAAUCAUAGUAAACAUGAACCCUCUAAUAACUUUUAAAAACUGAGCUGUACAGAAAAAAGAGGACUUGAGCACAAACCAGUCUGACAGUAACUACAUGUCAACAUCACAACCAGGGGGGAGAAACGUUUAUAUUCUGUCAUUAAUUUAUGAAUUUUGUCCACAGCUCCAUAGGGAUUGCUGGAGGAGGCGGGAUUUAUGACCUAUACUGCAGCCCGUCACCAGAGGGUGCUGGCGUCCUUUCUGUAUACAGUCUAUACACAAUGUUGGCCGCCCUGUUUUGAGUUGUCGUCCAUUUAUCAAUUUAAACAUCAGUCUGAUUAAUCUCACCUGUGUGUUUAACUCAACAGUAAUCUACUUUUACUUAAAUUUCAUUGGACACAGAUUAGCGUAUUAAUUUGGACUUGUCAGCUGUCAGGUAGUUUUUAAUGUGAAUUAUGCUCCUGAAAAGCUCCUCUGUUCUGGUGACAUUAUUUUCUAUCGCCGCAGCAGCAGCGUUACAGCGCCGGCUCAUUUGCCUUCCUCUGCCGCUGUCAUUUCCUGUUAUUCUGUAUGUUCGAUCAUUACUCACCGGUCUGCACUUUUCCUGGUCCUCUAGAAUUAUGUGGAGCUUUUAUAUCUUAACAGAAUCUGCCUUUUUCACCGGGUCUCAGCGUCAUAAAAAAUGCAUAGAGUCAGUGAGGUAGAUGCUGCCCACUGAGGUUUAAAUCAUCCAAAUUUGUUUCUGCCUACAGGACGGCUCCGCCCGUGUCACCUCCACGAGACAAGUCUGCUCAGUCAUCUCAGGAAAUAAGUGUCAGUAAUCCACUUUUCCAUGGAAGCACCUCUUAAACUCCUCAGAGGUCUGGACAUCUUCAUUUUCAGAAUCAGGAGCUGCUCUCCCCGUCAUAAAUCCAUACUGUAAGGUGGCGAGGACUGCAAAUGUUUUCUUCAGCCUCCAGAACAGUUUUUUUUUGUCUGCACUGGAAAGCAGCUUCUGUCUCAGCUCCAUCAGCUCUGUUAUUACCACAAAAACAAACCCAGAGCAGACACUUAUGAGAACAAACAUCUGCUGUUUAUCAUGAGCCACAACUUCAGACAAAGAGUCUGUAGCCAUAGCGAUGAGACGGCCCGCACAUAUGGAAGGAAAGGUCUGCGGAUCGAGCCGUAUAGAGCGCAGCUUUUAACGGCUCUCAGGGAUGUUUGAGGUGAAAUUAAGAAUUAAUCUGGUAAGGAUUUAUGUGCUGAUUGUUUCUUGAUUAUUGUAUUACUGAUUAAGUCUAUUCAACGUAAGACGAGGAAGUGAAAAGUACAGUGCAGCUCCCGGGGCGCACAAUUAAGUUUGAAAUUGCUUAUUAUAUCUGAUGAGGAGUUAAAUGCCCAAAAGGUAUCCGGUUUGUGAUUACAUAAGAGAAAGAAACGCAAGUGAGAACGAGUGGGCAUGUUUAACCGAAGAGUUCAAUAAAUAUAAAUAAGGUGUUUGCUCGUGGUUAUGGUCAGGGAGGCCUCUGAUAACUGUGUUGAGAAGCUUCGUUCACAUCUUAGAUACAAAGUGUGGAUUACAGCUGAAUAAUCCAUCCUGAAAUAUACUCGUUAUACAUCCCAACAUACUGUCAUCUCUCCUGUGGCGUUCAGCCUGUAAAAACGCCUGCAGCCAUCUUCCCGCCUUCACCACAGAGUGUCACUGUUGCAGCACUGAGCCUUCACUCUGUUUGUGUGAGGAGGAGGAGGAGGAGGAGGAAGAGGAGGAAGAGGAGGAGGGAGAUCGACAGACAGAGGGAGUGAGGGAGGCAGCUGCUGGGCAGAUCAUCAGUCUGUCUCUUACUGUAGUCGUCUUGCUCCUCUCUCUCUUUCUCUCUCUCUCUCCCUCCCAUGGCUCCGCCUGCCCCAGAAACAAGGUAGUUGCGUCUAAUUGCUCUAAUGGCGUCCCAUCCUCAUUAGACUCUUGACCUUGGCUGUGCGUGAUAAGAGCGGGUCAGUGCGGAUUAGAAGUGGCCCCCAGGUCUCCUCCAGUUACCAGUCAAUACCUCCAUCUCAAUCCACUCCCCUGAAAAAAAACCACAAGAGCCUCCAUGUCAAACUGGGCACAUUUCAGAGAUUUUUCCCUCUUUUUUCCUUUUUUUCGGCUGAUCCCGCUGGAUGUGUCGAGUCUUGCCGCGCAUGCAACUGUUAGCUCAGAGCAGUGACAGCAACUGUUCAAUAAUGCAUCAUUUAAGGUUUUAUUUUUAUCUUUGCAGGAGCUGUCAGGGGCAUGUUUGACACAAAAGACUGAUUAUACAUCUUAUAUAGUUUUUAUUCACUGACAGAUGGUGUUAUUAUUAUUCAAGUGAAGAAACAGAGUCUUUGUGACCCUUUAAAACGGCUCUGUGACGGUCUAAAUCGUCGAAAUCACAGAGAACAUGAAAGAAAUUAACCUGCUGCAGGUAAUUCUGUAUAUUGAGAGGUGAGCACGGAAAGAUGAAGAUGAUCUGUCCAAAGGAAGGCUCUCAGUAGUCACGUUUAUAUAUUUACAUGUGCAAAAUUUAUUGAUCCGAUUAAAAAUUUGAGGGAUUGGAAAACCUGAAUUCACUGUUUAUAUUGGCGCAAAAUCAAAUAAUCCGAUCAUGAUGUUCGUAUACAUGCAUCAAACUUUAUCCAGAUUAGAAUCAGUUGGACAUGCGCAGAGUCGUCUGAUUUUGCUACAACAAAUGCAGAAGAAGACGAGUUGCAUUUACAACUUGUGGUGUCCCGAUACAACUUUUUUACCUCCGAUAUGAAACCGAUAUUGUAUUCCUAGAUAUUGGCCGAUACUGAUAUUGAUUGGAUAUUAGCACAAAAUUGUGCGUGACAAGUUUUUCACUCAGCUGCAACGUCUUUUUCACUCCAUCACUGCUUCUCCUUGGUACUUCGGUACACACUGUUGUUGUGAUCAUGUGGGCUCUAGAUGCUGGAUCAGGGCUCUGCUAGCUAGAGGUGCCGGAGUGGAAUCGGGAGUGGACUGCCUGUAUCGGAGUGCUGAUAUCAAAGAUUUUCGAUGCAGGUCGAUAUGAUCCCAUAUUUGAUUUUUUUGCUGAUAUCCGACCGAUAUCCGAUACCAAUAUCGUAUCGGGACAACCCUAUUUAUAACCAUUACCCUUUUGUCACUAGAUGGCGCCCUUGCUCACUUAUUUUACUGUUCUGUCAAAGGUUGCUCUGUGCGUACAGAUGUGACAGUGUUACGCUGUGUGUACGCCUUGUUAUGUUAUCGGAGGAGCAGACACAGCACCUGAUGUGCAACCUCCUGAACCGUCCUCAGUAAAUAGCGAUGACAAUAAUAAUUAAAUUACGAUCGGGAUAAGUGUUUACAUGGACGGAUUUCGGAAUAACAAUCAUCAUAAACCACCUCUCUUGACCAGUAUACAAUUUCUUUCAGAUUGUGUUGAAUUGGAUCAGAUUGACAUGUUUACAUGACACAUUUUUUUCCGAUCGGGCCUUAAUUCUGAUUAUUUGUGCCCAUGUAAUCGCAGCUAUUUUAAAUUAGUCAGCACUGCCUCUUUACUCACGACCUUAAAGAAAUCAGCGUCACAAACACCAAAUUUGGGGGAUAUAAAGAAUCGUAUCGAUGUUGUUUGGCUGUUUUGUUCUUUAUUAAUAAUUUUACAGUAACAGUUAUUUUGUUGAUUUUUUGUUUUAUAUUUUGUUUUUUAACUUAUUUUUCCUGUUUGCUGAUAUUCUGGGAUCUCUUCUGGUUUGUUUAGGAGAGGUAUAAAUGACCCUCUGGGCUUCAGCCGCUCCUUUUAGGUUAAUGAUUGUGUGAAAUCAGAGAGGACAGAUAUAAUGUUUUGUUUUGUAUUUUGUUUUUGGUAGUUCUGGAUUCACACAAAACCGUUAUGCUUUGACGUCAUAACCUAAUGUAUGUAUAACCAAAUACAUUUCAUUUAUUCAUUCAUAUUAUUGUUUAUAUCUAGUCUGGACUGUAUAUAUAAUGCCAAAGUGUGAAGACAGGAUCAGAUUGAGUCUGGUUCUUGUAAGAUCAGACCUGAAAUCUGCAGCUUUUAUCAAGUUACAGUAAAGAGGAAGAACUUCGUUUAACAGGCAGAAACCUCGAGGAGGACCAGACUGAUGUUAGACCGUCAUCUGCUGAGACUGAACUGAGGUUUAGAGAGACAGAAGUCCACGUCUGCUGCGUGAGUGAGUGAGUGAGUGAGUGAGUGAGUGAGAGAGAGAGAGAGAGAGAGAGAGAGAGAGAGAGAGAGAGAGAGAGAGAGAGAGAGAGAGAGUGAGUUGAGUGAGAGAGAGAGAGAGAGAGAGAGAGAGAGAGAGAGAGAGAGAGAGAGAGAGAGAGAGAGGAGAGAGAGUGAGUGUGACAAUUUUUAGUCUGAUGUUUCCUGAAUUUGACUUCUAACAUCAUCAAUAAGAGGAACAUUUCUUUUACGUAUUCUUAACUGAAUAUUUUACAAUCAGUUUUAUGUCUUCGGAGUAACAAAAAUACGUUUUGGAUCAUAUUUAUGUAAAUUCACUUUUAAUUACGACAAAAACACACAAGGUAUUGAGACUAAAUUCAAUCGACUGACGAAUCUGCAUGUAAUUAUCAUCAGGAAGUCGGAGUUUGUGGACAGGUUAUAUUUUAGAAGGAUACAAGAAUCCGAGUCUCUGCGGUGAAGGAUGAGAGGAGGAUUUCUGAGAGAUUAGAGGAAAACAGGUUUUUAUUUUGGGGUUUGGAGAGAGUCCAAACAAUCACAGCGUGAUCUAUUCUAACUUGCGAGCAUCCGAAGAGUUUUCCGUCAUUUUAAACGGAGGAAACGGAGCUCGCUGUAUCAGGACAGAUCAUGUGAUCACAGGAGGGAAGAUUGGGGACCUCGAAAAGCUCGCCGUAAUAAUCCCUCGCCGCAGAAUUUAAUAUUCACACCUUUUCCAAUUUGAGCCUCGCCUCACCUCGGCUGCAUCAGAGUGUGUGUUUGUUCGGAGGCGGAGGACACACAGGGAAGAAAAACAGAGCAAACAGAGAGAGAGAGAGAAAUGUUGAGUUAUACUCUUCAAGACCGAAAGGAACAACUACAUGAGAGAGAGAGAGAGAGAGAGAGCAGUGGAGAAUCUCUGCAGGCUACACAGCGAUAAGAACAUUAUUAGGCUGCUAUCCACCUAUGCAAUUACACUCAGCGCCUCUAAGCUCUCAAGGAGAAACCCCUCCCUCGCUCUGCCUCAUCCUCAGUGCACCUGGAGGCUGUGACUCUGUGUGUGUGUGUGUGUGUAUUAUAAUAGAUCGAAGUGUCUGUGGCUAAGUAUGUAUGUGGGAGACACAAAGGCAGCGACACAAAGACAGAGAGAGACAGUGAACCGCAGAGAGCGAGCAGGAUUGCAUCAAAAGCAACAACAACACUUUGAUCCCUUCAAAUUCAGUCCCUCAGAAAUCGAGUGCCCUGUUAUAUCCCAGCAGCUCUUCCUGUUUGCUCGAGACCUCUGCUGCUGAGUGCUUUGAGGCCCGUGGUAAACAAGUGCUAAUAUGCUACCUCUGCGAGAAAACAGCAGCUUAAUGAAGGAUUUACUUCCUCCUCUGACCAGCUCUGAUGAGGGACCUGACGAUUAGGAAGACUUCUGGCCUUUGGCGAUCAUUAUGUUGCAGCGCUGACCCUCUUCUUCUUCUUCUUCUUGCAGCUCCGUUUUCAAAGUCAGCAUUAAUUAAGAAGCUGCAUUUAUUCUGUGAGAGGAGAGAUAACGUAUGCAGACAUUAAAUGACGGACGGAGCACUUCAAGAGGAAAUCAACUUUAACCUCGCCUCUCUUCAAUCUGUCGCUUCUCUCUGACUCAGACUCCUGCAGAGGAAACAUCCUCUCAUAUAUUCAUACAAACCGUUUUUAAAUAUUGAUGAUCUUUAGCUUUUUUAAUUAUGCUCAGUGGCACGCCGGCGCUUAAACUGUGUUGUUUCU